rnacentral:tRNA from 1 species
UGGGAUAUAGCCAAGUGGUAAGGCACCAGACUUUGACUCUGGCAUUCGUUGGUUCGAAUCCAGCUAUCCCAGCCA